ensembl:lncRNA
CUCCACAAAGACAAGAUGACUGCCAACUGCUCACUUAUGUCUCAGAUGAACCUGGAUUAAAUACUUGCAUUUUGAAGAAAAGAGAGGACAUGGAAGUUGCCUGUACCGUCAAGAAGCCGACGACCGCAGCCUCUGAGGUCGAAGUCCACCCUGGGCAAGGCCAGCACCGACCGGAAGCCUAAGGCCCCUCCCUGAGGGGCAGGUGACAGGACACGGACCUGGUCAUCCUCUGGCCCUUGCUUCAGAUGCUCCUGGGGAAGUUACAGGAAUCGGCCGUGUGCGAAGGCGGAGGUCCCCGCCGG